rnacentral:rRNA from 1 species
CCUACGGGAGGCAGCAGUAGGGAAUAUUGCUCAAUGGGGGAAACCCUGAAGCAGCAACGCCGCGUGGAGGAUGAAGGUUUUCUGAUUGUAAACUCCUUUUGUUAGAGAAGAUAAUGACGGUAUCUAACGAAUAAGCACCGGCGAUAACCGUGCCAGCAGCCGCGGUAAUACGGAGGGUGCAAGCGUUACUCGGAAUCACUGGGCGUAAAGAGCGCGUAGGCGGGAUAGCAAGUCAGAUGUGAAAUCCUAUGGCUUAACCAUAGAACUGCAUUUGAAACUGUUAUUCUAGAGUAUGGGAGAGGUAGGUGGAAUUCUUGGUGUAGGGGUAAAAUCCGUAGAGAUCAAGAGGAAUACUCAUUGCGAAGGCGGCCUGCUGGAACAUAACUGACGCUGAUGCGCGAAAGCGUGGGGAGCAAACAGGAUUAGAUACCCUUGUAGUC